GCCUGGUGGUUCCUGGAGUCAGCUCUGAAGUGCUGAACUGUAGGUUUUUUAUAACAGGCACAAAUUAAUUCUGCAGUUUUUUGCAUGGAAACUGUCGUCAUCGCAGCUUUCCAUAGCCCGGUUGCAGAAACACAU
ensembl:snoRNA small nucleolar RNA SNORA84